GCGCUUGCUUUGGCAGCACAUACACUAAAAUUGGAACAAUAUAGAGAAGAUUAGCAUGGCCCCUGGGCAAGGGUGACACACAAAUUCGUGAAGCAUUCCAUAUUUUU
ensembl:snRNA U6 U6 spliceosomal RNA